rnacentral:piRNA from 1 species
UGGAAACACCGAGUUGACAGACACUGUGGG